UACGGGGGGGGCAAGCGUUGUUCGGAAUUACUGGGCGUAAAGGGCGCGUAGGCGGCUGAGCAGGUCCGGUGUGAAAUCCCUCGGCUCAACUGAGGAAUUGCGCUGGAAACCGCUUGGCUCGAGUACAGGAGAGGAGGGCGGAAUUCCCGGUGUAGCGGUGAAAUGCGUAGAUAUCGGGAAGAACACCGGUGGCGAAGGCGGCUCUCUGGACUGUAACUGACGCUGAGGCGCGAAAGCGUGGGGAGCGAACGGGAUUAGAAACCCGUGUAGUCC
rnacentral:rRNA from 1 species